GUUCAGAGAGCCUUAGGUUUUGGUGAAGCCUGGGUUGGAUUGUCCGUAAGCAAAAUCUAAUCUAGUCGUGUGACAGUGCAAGAAAGGAAAUCAGAAAAAAAUGUUUCUGAGGGGUUAUUAGGGGAGACAUCAGAGCUUGGUGCCGUGUAAUUUCUACUCCCGUCACGUUGCACUAAGACAUCCCCCCCCCGCCUCCCUCCCGAACUGCUUGCCAUUCCUGCCAGCCUCCCCACAUGCUGUAAGGUGCAGGAGAGGUGCAACUUAGAUGACUUCACAUUCCAUCUGGAACAGCGUGUCCAGCCUUAGAAGCCAGGGGAGAUCUCACUGGGCACAUCCAGGCCUGUUUGAAGUGAAGACUCCCAAGAAGGAGAAUGUCUUGUUUUGUCAGUCCCACUGGCACAGCUCUGGUUUGUUUGGUCUCGAUGCCUUGUGUCGGAGGAACAGGUUGAUGGUCCCUUCUGGGACAGAUCAGUAAUGUCUUUCUCUGAAGUAUCUCCAUGUGGUCCAGUUGAUGAUGUUAAAAGAGCACACGGUGGCAGCUGGUGCUGGAGGAACUUGGAAGAGGAUGGUGGUUACUGGGGAGGUUAGGGAUUUGCAAAGAGCCCCAAAAUCUGGGUCUGGUUCCCACUGAUGUUGUGUCACUCCGGACUAUCUUGUAAUAGGAAGUGAUGCUGUAGCCAAAGACAGCCCUAGAAACUAAUGUAGUCACUUCCUCAUCUCCAGGGUUUUCUGAUUAAACUCAGAAAUUGUUUCUAAAGCUGGUUCUGCAUUUUCCAUGUACAGUAUUACUAACCUCAAACUUAAA
rnacentral:lncRNA from 1 species